UUAGUAAUGGUAUUUCUAAUA
rnacentral:piRNA from 1 species